rnacentral:rRNA from 1 species
AUGUCGCUUCUCCCUGCCGCCUCCUCUCCUCACCACGACUCGCCCUCGGCAUCCUCUCCCCACCACGGCUCGCCCCGCAGCCUCCACCUCCGAUACGACCUCACGCUGCCACCAACGCUUCCGGUCUCCCCUGUAUCGACACUGCCGCCGGUGUCCAACCUCAGCGAUGACGCCAGCCUGCCCGACGUAGCUCCUGGCCGCGGCGGCCUAGAACGCCGAGGUAUAGAAGCCUGCUCCGGCUGCCAAGCUGCCGCCCAACCUGCUCUGGGGGUUCCAUAUGAUACAAGACUCAAAGGUCUAGAUGAUGACAGAGGAACCAAAGGUCUAACACAGGAUGCUUCAAAGUCUCAUUUUAAAAGGUCAACAGGUCAUGCAAAGGAUAAAGGGGUUCAGCUACCGCAGCAAGUAACAGAUGAAUCGGUGUUGUCCUAA